rnacentral:rRNA from 1 species
CAGCAGCCGCGGGAAUACGAAGGGGGCUAGCGUUGCUCGGAAUGACUGGGCGUAAAGGGCGCGUAGGCGGUUCGUACAGUCGGAUGUGAAAUUCCUGGGCUUAACCUGGGGGCUGCAUUCGAUACGUGCGGGCUUAAGUGUGGAAGAGGGUCGUGGAAUUCCCAGUGUAGAGGUGAAAUUCGUAGAUAUUGGGAAGAACACCGGUGGCGAAGGCGGCGACCUGGUCCAUAACUGACGCUGAGGCGCGAAAGCUAGGGGAGCAAACAGGAUUAGAUACCCCUGUAGUCCCUGUCUCUUAUAC